rnacentral:rRNA from 1 species
UACAGAGGGGGCAAGCGUUGUUCGGAAUUACUGGGCGUAAAGGGCGCGUAGGCGGCCUUCUAAGUCGAACGUGAAAUCCCCGGGCUCAACCCGGGAACUGCGUCCGAUACUGGAAGGCUUGAAUCCGGGAGAGGGAUGCGGAAUUCCGAGGUGUAGCGGUGAAAUGCGUAGAUAUCUGGAGGAACACCGGUGGCGAAGGCGGCAGUCCUGGACCGGUAUUGGACGCUGACGGCGCGAAAGCCAGGGGAGCAAAGCGGGAUUAAGAAACCCCGUG